AUGCCGGCUGGUAUUUCGACUCUGGCGCCGUCGACGGAUGCGGAAUCUUUCGAUUAUGAAGCGAAGGAUCCGCCGGCCUUUACAAUCUUACAGAAGGAUGGCCUGGAUUCGAGUCUGCCUCUUUUACACGUCAACGAAGACGAUGAGAUGAAUGCGUCGCAACUUAUCAACUUAGAAAACAUGAAGAACGCAAUGAAGAAUAACCUCUGUAAUCGCAGACGUAUCAGCAAAUCCAAUGAACAUCUGGUCUUGGCUAAUCUACAAUCGAAUCAAGCCAAUCCUCUGAAGAAAAAACAUCAAAGUAAAAGUCAAGAUAGCUUAACGUUAGCUGAGGACAGACCACCUACAGUUAAACCUAGCAUUGUCUUAUCAACGGAAGAUUUCAAUGAAGUGUUGAACGCGAAAUUGAAAAAAAUCCAAGAGCAAGCCGAGGCCGAGCAAGGCCGCAAGUCGCCUAAGAAAUCGAUCCUACCGCAGAAAAAGCCGUUCAUCACGACCGUGAAGACGGGAGAAUUUCUAAUGCCGCCGCCGGAAGUGGCGGCCUUGCUCGGCAUAGCGCCCAGCAGAAAGUACGAGGAGGAGGAGGCCGUAGACGGAUGUCCUCUGAAGAGCAGGUUCAAAUCACUGGUAUCGCUAGCCAAGAGACCGGAGGUACGUCACAAUAGCCAUAAUGCCAGAUGUCCAGCCGCCCUGAAGGCCACCGUAGAUUUUUCCCUCGGCAUGAUGAACGCCACCACCAUCGCCACCGCCUCGACCUUAAAUGAGCAGGCAAGAAGGUUCAAGAGGAGUGAACUGACCAGAUUCCCGCAGACGCCGCGAGCUUUACCAAAAAAGUUGGAACCGAUCGAGGGCAUGAUGAAUAUGCUGCCGAGACUUCGCGGCGAUCAUUCGGUUCCCUUCGGGAAUAUUAUGUUUGACCGCCGAGUGGUUCGAGGAAGCACAUGCGCUUCCAUUCCUACUCUUAUCGAUGGGGAACAAUCGAUAGCAGCGAGGCAAGCGGAAGCAAGACGAAGACAUUUGGCGAGGAAACGUGCUCAAAUGCAAACUUGCAGAACUUCCAGAUCAGGUUCGCCUCCUCCGGUUGCUGGAAGAAAACACGAACCAGUGCAAACGGAGAUUUUCCUCGAAGAGCUGAUAGAGAAACCAGACGAAUCCGAAGUAGCCACACAGACUGAUUACUUCUUGGAAAAACCAGUACUACCAAACUAUUAUGUAAGCGAAGUUGGUCAAGACGUUGGCACGCAAAUCGAACCCGGGGAACUCUUCGACUACGACACUGAAAUCCAACCGAUUUUGGAAGUGUUGGUAGGCAAGACUAUUGAACAAGCCCUAAUCGAGGUUCUGGAAGAGGAGGAAAUCUCUGCUCUUAAGGAGCAGCAGCGAAGAUUCCUCGAAUUGCGCAUGGCUGAGGAAGCUGAAGAGCAACGAUUAGCAGAAGAAGAUAGAAGACGUAGAGAGGACAAGGAGCAACGCCUGAAGCAACAUGAAAAGGCGAUGAAAGCUCAGCAGGAGACCGAGGAACGAGUCGCGGCUGCAGUAUUGUUAACAGGAUAUAUCGCCGAACUUUUACCUGCGGUUCUGGAGAGUCUGAAGAUGUCUGGCUAUUUACUGGAUGAGAUUAAGGCUGAUGUCGAAGAAGGUUUUAUGCCAUGGUUAAUGAAAGAAGUCAAAAAAGAAAUGGGUAACAUGAUUGAAAGCAGAGAAUUGUUAAUGGAAAUUAUUAAAGAAAUCUUGGAGAACCGCGCGCAAACAUACAGGCAGCUUGGUGAAGAAUACGAUAUUUCAAGAAAUAAGAAAUUAGCAAACGUAUAUAAUUUGGAAGGAGGUGAAACUGAUAACAAUUUCGUGAAUUAUGAGUCACCCGCGGCAAAAGAAAAUCACGCAAUUUAGCGUGAUAAUUUGUUUUCAGGACAUUAAUGAUGUGUGUUAGAAAAUGAGCAAAACGUAGUUAACUUUUGACUAACAGGAUUUACCUUAACCAGCACAAAAGCAAUAUCCGAAUCCGUACCUUCUACAUUAAGCAGUAUACACAGCUGUGCAACAAAUCCAUCUCCUUCGUUUGCACCCUCUGACAGGUCACCGCAGCGCUCGCGAUCCCUAUCGCAAACAAUAACCGCCGAAAGAACGAGAAAGGCCUAUCAGAAAUUAAUUAUCGAUUCUCGAAAUCAACGCGAUUAACAUUGAAACGCUGCACAAUGCUUUCAAGAAUAAGAAGCCGAUUACAUUCUAGGACAUAAUUUAUAAUUUAUUCAUGUAAUUCCGAAGAUCCAAAAAUUUAAGUACAUAUUAAAUAAAUAA